AAUUUCUCUUUCAAGCCCAUUUAUUAUCCAAAAAUCUGAUUCAUAUAUAAUAUAUUUCUUUUCUAAGUCCAUAUAUUACCAUUAUUUAAUUGAAAGAUCAAAGACCCAUUUUGCUUCUUCUUCCUUCACCAUAAGUGUAAAUGGAUGGUUUGGUCACCAAGCUUUUGACUCCCCUUUGUUUCCAACUUCAGUCCAAGUUCAUGACUUUGCAUACCUCAAUUUUCUUCUUCCUUCUUCUCCCGUACGUGUAAGUUGAGGCAUUUUUGAGAGUGACAAAUGUUCAAGAAUUUCUCCUCUUUCAUGACUCAUCAAGUCUCAUAAACUCUAUAAAUAGCCAUUAAAAUUUAUGUCAUCUCCAAUCUUACAAAUCCAACUCAAAUUUGAGUAAUUAAAUGAAAAACACCAUUGUUAAAGCUUGGAGCUUUUUACCCCAUUAAUUUUGACUACCCAUUUUCUCUCUCCUCCUUUGACCACCGCGGCUCCAUCGCAGCCACCACCUGUUUCCCGGCGACUUUCCCUUCGCCGCCCAGAUCUCAGCCCCGACGUCACUUCUUGUUCGCUGCCGGAGCCCACUGUGACCCAUGUGGCUGCGGGAGUGGUUGUUGCGUGACCCCCUUUAUCUGCUAUACUCUUGUUUGGUUGUUCCUAUAAUUUUCCUCCUUGUUCUACUGACUAUUUGUAAUUGAGUGAUGAGUUGGCCAUAGUCAAACAAAUACUUAAUGGGCUUUAAUUAGUUGGAGAAUAAGACAAAAAGCUAGGUUGGUGGAUUAAAGAAGUUGAUGGCAAAGACCAACAUUUUUAUGGAAGCUACGUUAUUAAAUGAAGACUCAUUAUGGAGGAUUAUUAUUAAUUUCGAGCUUAUGGAUUUCAGAUUAAGGAUAAACGAUCAAGGUUCGAUUAAGGAGCUCAAGUUGCUCAAGUCAAAGUUAUUACUGGAGUUGGUAGUUUAUUAUGUGGAUAUCGAGAUGAGAAUUAUUUAUUAAGGGAAUCCUGUUAUUGAGGUUGUUAUAAGAAUAUUGAUUUAUAUUUAUAUUUGGGAAAGUUUGUAUUAUUUAAGAUAUGUUAUUUGAGGAUGAUUUUAUUUGUGGGCCCAUAACCCACAGGUCCCAGGAUUAUUUUAUGCCUAUUUUCGCUGCUAAUGAUUAGCUAAGUGCGGUUUAUUACCGUUAAUUAAGGUGCCGAAAAGUCGGGGCGUUACAUAAACUCUCGAUUAGGUCUACAUUCCUUUAAGGUUAAAACAACUUGAUUAGAAUUAAUAAGGAUUGAAAUUGGUAGAUUAUUGGAAGCCAUGAUUAAUUGCUGAAAAUAUUUAUGUGAUGCAUAAUA